AUUGAACGCUGGCGGCAGGCCUAACACAUGCAAGUCGAGCGAGCGGCGGACGGGUGAGUAAUGUAUGGGGACUGCCCGAUAGAGGGGGAUAACUACUGGAAACGGUGGCUAAUACCGCAUACUAUCGGAUAACCCAUAUGGGAUUAGCUAGUUGGUGAGGUAAUGGCUCACCAAGGCGACGAUCCCUAGCUGGUCUGAGAGGAUGAUCAGGCAAACUGGGACUGAGACACGGCCCCGACUCCUACGGAGGCAGCAGUGGGGAAUAUUGCACAAUGGGCGCAAGCCUGAUGCAGCCAUGCCGCGUGUAUUAAGAAGGCCUUCGGGUUGUAAAGUACUUUCAGUCGGGAUGCGUUACCGACAGGAGAAGCACCGGCUUACUCCGGGCCAGCCGCCGCGGUAAUUC
rnacentral:rRNA from 1 species